UGAACCCGAGCAUACUACAUGUCAGGCAGUAUACUACACUAAAUGCCUUUGGCAUAAAAACAUUUUUGAAAUCAUAUGCAUAACCCCCAUUAGCUCACUGUGAUCUAUGUCUUACAGAUGAAGAAGCUGGGGCACUGAGAAGAUAGGUGACUUGCCUGAUGUCAGGGGUUAGUGGCAGAGCUGGGACUCAGAUGCCAAUCUGUACAGUGUUGGAGAUCAAACCACUAAGCUACCGUCUCAAAAUCCACAGCAUACGGAUCAGAAACAGCGAUGAAGUAGCCCUGCUUGCUGAGUUCAUCCACUGCCACUUUUUCAAGGCUCCAUUGAAAGACCUGGGUUCUUGAUGCACAUAGAUGCAUUUCUAGGCUACAGGGUUCACCUGGGAGUUUUUGCAAAUUGUUGGAACUCCCCCCAAAUUUUUCCAAUGUACUUAUGGAAAAAAAAAUCUACGUGUAAAUGGACUGCAGUUCAAGCCCAUGUCGUUCACAGGUCAAGUGUACUUGGCUGAGGAAUCUGCAAAUGAGCAACUGUGAAUGAACUGUACAGAGACAGCAAGAAUCCCAGUGGAGAAAGCCAAUCUUCCGGGCAGCGGCCGGCUGGCACCUGGGCAAGGUGGCAGGUGUGAGAUCACCACGCAUCGGGCCACGUACAGCUUCUCAGCACUGGCACAUCUGGUCCGUGGCCAACAUACGAGAGGUGCCGGCAAUGCUAAGAAACUCUGCAGAAAAGAGCCUCAAACCCACUGAUCUUGAAAAGAGGAGAUAAAAGGAAGGCUUCACGUUGAAGACAGAACUACAAAUGUAAAUGCAACUGGUUUGCCUACUGACAUCAUAGCGGAGGCCUUUAUACAGCUUCUAAUUUUGCAUGAUUAUGAGAUCCCCAGACAGAAUUUAUGGUCAAGUUUUACAAAGAUAAACCAAGGGAAUCUUAAAGCAGAUGGGCUUUGCAGUUAUUUGAAGAGGGACUCUGGAUUGUGCAAUAAUGCUUUUGGAUGAAGAUGAAAUUAGAAGCUAGAAAUCGCAUAGUGAGGUAGCUCAGUUUCAACGGAAGGGUCUUCGAAGAGGGGGCACUACAGGUAGGGGCUGGCUCUGUAAUAAAAGCAGUUGGACUGUUGGAAUGCUUGUGGAAUGCCCCAAGGGGGAGUGCUCAUUACCAAAAUGUUUCAUCCCAUGGAUUUUGAGCUGGUGCUGAUCAAGGUAGGAGAAGACU